rnacentral:rRNA from 1 species
AUUGAGAAAUUCUAUAAUACUAUAGAACCUUUUAUGCUAAGACUAGUAACAAGAGCUAACCCCUCUCUAUAAUGCAAACACACGCCAGCAAGAACCCACCACUGGCAAAUAACAGACUUAAAAAAAAGUAGUAACAACCCUAGGAAACCCUACUCCUACAACUGUUAACCUUACACAAGAGCAUUUCAAGAAAGAUUUAAAAAAAAAGAAGGAACUCGGCAAACACUAGCCCCGCCUGUUUACCAAAAACAUCGCCUCUUGACCACCCAUAAGAGGUCCAGCCUGCCCAGUGACUCUUGUUCAACGGCCGCGGUAUCCUGACCGUGCGAAGGUAGCGUAAUCACUUGUUUUCUAAAUAAAGACCAGUAUGAAAGGCAUCACGAGGACUAAGCUGUCUCCUUUUUUUAAUCAGUGAACCUAAUCUCCCCGUGAAGAAGCGGGGAUUCUUAUAUAAGACGAGAAGACCCUAUGGAGCUUUAAACAUCAUGACACUUGCCACUC